rnacentral:rRNA from 1 species
GACGAACGCUGGCGGCGUGCUUAACACAUGCCAGUCGAACGGAAAGGCCCUGCUUUUGUGGGGUGCUCGAGUGGCGAACGGGUGAGUAACACGUGAGUAACCUGCCCUUGACUUUGGGAUAACUUCAGGAAACUGGGGCUAAUACCGGAUAGGAGCUCCUGCUGCAUGGUGGGGGUUGGAAAGUUUCGGCGGUUGGGGAUGGACUCGCGGCUUAUCAGCUUGUUGGUGGGGUAGUGGCUUACCAAGGCUUUGACGGGUAGCCGGGCUGAGAGGGUGACCGGCCACAUUGGGACUGAGAUACGGCCCAGACCCCUCCGGGAGGCAGCAGUGGGGAAUAUUGCACAAUGCGCGGAAGCCAGAUGCAGCAACGCCGCGUGCGGGAUGACGGCCUUCGGGUUGUAAACCGCAUUCGCCUGUGACGAAGCGUGAGUGACGGUAAUGGGUAAAGAAGCACCGGCUAACUCCGUG